ACCCAGUCCAACCCACCCACCCCCACACACCUUCUCUUCCUUAUGCAAGACUUAACAAGAACCCUAGAGAACAAUUGGAAAAAAAUGAAAGAGCGCUUUCUUUUAGAGUUUUAAGGCCCAAAAGUAGUGCAUCAGAAAAUGGAGCAAAACCUCCCAAAAAAUCAGCUCAAAUAUUCAUGAAAACAGAAUCAUAGAGCAGCUCUGAAACCUCACGAUUCCAACACAUUAAAUCAAAUAACACCACCUCAAACACCUUGAAACGUUAGCAAAAAAACAACCAUAAAAAUCUGCCUUGAAACAGCCAAAAUCGGACAUUAAAAUGACCCAAAACUCAGUGAAAAUCGAUUUAAAGAAGCAGCAAAAACGCAGCAGUAAAAUGACCUUCCAAUCUCCAUGAAAACCGAUCAUUUUCUACUUGAAACAGUUCCAAAAUCAGCCUUAAAUCCAGCUAAAUACCUCAUAAAAUCAUCCCCAAAAACGCCAACGAAAUUGAACUAAAAAUCAGUUGCUUUCCUUCACCGAAAAUGCCCAAAAAUCUAGAUCUAGAUCAUCUCCAUAUCCCACCCUAAAUUUAGUAAGAACAGCCAUAAACUAAGCUCCAAAACUCUCCAUAAACCACUAAUAAACUAACUUGAGAGCACCGCAAGAGUUUAUUUCUGAGUUUGGUUUCGGAAGCUUUUAUUUGAGGUUGUCGACGAGGUUUUCCAGUCAUCGAAGGUCAGCCCGUGGUUUCUGUUCGAGUUCCGUCCAUUGUCGGGUUUCAAGACAAAUAGCAGCUUCACUUUUGAGGUCAAUCCUCUCCUUUUGUCAUAAUCUUUUAUUUCUUGAAAUGAAGAUAAUAUGAGUUCUUUGUGAAUUUGGUGUUAUUGUGGAGUUUAUGGUGUGUUUAUUAAAUAACUUCUUUUGUUUAGAUGUUAAUGCUUGGAACUUAGUGUAAUUUGGAUUGAUUUGACCGAUUUAGGUUGUUAAGAAAAGAUUAGAAUGAGAAGCAAAAGGCACUAUUUAUGAUAAAUUAUUUUUGAAAAUUGGGUUAUGGGAAUAGACUAAAGAAGCAAAUAACGGCAUGGUCUUAGUUUAUCGAAACAGAAAUUAGGCUUAAAUGUUUAUUGUGUUACUUAUUUUCUUUGCCCGUUAGUAGCAUGUUUAGGCAUACAACACUCGGGUAGGCAAGCCUUAGUAUAUUUGUUAAUUUUGAGGCGAGAGGUCGCUCCUAUAGUUAAAUUUAUCUGGGGAAAGCCCCGAAGACUUUGUAUAUGUUUUCUUCCGGGGAAUCUCUUGUAGUACUUAUAUUUGGAGGCUUAAAGUGAAACUCAUAGUAUUUUUAGUUUUAGUUUUAUUUUCCUUUUAUUAGGUGGGAACGACCUCGAGCCUCUUUUUGAUUAUUUAUUUUCUUUUCUGUGUUUUCUACCUCAAUUGAAUAUUUUAAAGCCCACUAGAUUGAGUACGCAACCGUACUAGUUACGGGACUUGGGGAGUGCCUAAUACCUUCUCCCCGAGUCAAAUGAACCCCCUUACCUGAAUCUAUGGUGCAGACUUGAUUUUAGAGUCUGAAAUGUUUCAAAAGGAAAAAUUAUUUUUUUAAAAGAAAAACGGAGACCUGACACACCGAAAUCAAAGUCAGGUAGCGACUCUGAGUUUAUUUCCUUUUGAACAACAAUUUUGUCACUUUUCAAAUGAAAAAACCCUUUUAAAGCUUUUUACUAAAUCCUUUUAUUAUUUUAAGAGGGUUAAGUAAAGUUUGGUUACAAAAAGGGUGUGACAUAUCUGGAGACUCUGCUGGGGACUUGCGGGUUUGAGCUAGUACUUGAUCUUGUUGGCUUUUAGGAUUUUUGGUUGAGGUUUUUAUUUGUUUUGUUUGCUUUAUUCCAUUUUUAUUUUGUUUAUGUCGUUUUAUUUGCUAGUUGCUUAUUUGUUUACAGUUUUUUUCCUUGUGUGUUUACUGCUUUAUAUCUAUCAUCAUUUGCAUAACUUAGAGUCUUCUUUCUGUAACAAGUCUUCCAGAGUACGUUUGAGCGUACACGGCCUUUUUGUGAGUCACCCGUGUCUUUAGGGGAGUGGUGUGGGAGCAUGGAGUGGGCGGAUAGCUAGAGCAGCCGUCAUCGACCACGUGCCGCCCCGAAUUGCUUUGUCUAGUGAACCCCAAACUUAGGUCAGCCUUAAGUCACUUUUAUUUGCAUCAUGUCAUUUACACCUAGUAGGGCUCGGUCCUAGGUACCAUGUCCCUUUUGUAGGGAGCCUAUCCAAAUUAUGUCAAAAAUGGUCUUAUGGUCCAAAAUGACAUUUAAUUAUCCUAUGUGUUAAAUGUUGCAUCUUUGAGGGUAACAAGGUAAUUUGGUGGACCGAUGUUUGGAAACAAGGGUCAAAAAUGAAGAAAGUAGGGCACACAUCAUUUUUCUUUCAUAGACUUUCAAAAAUAAAAAAAAAUCAAAUACAAAAAAUAAAAAAAAUAUUUUACACUUUUCGAUCAUUUUCCGAAAAUUCAAAAAAUGAAAAUACAAAAUACGAAAAUUUUACACUUUGCCAUAUUUUUCCGAGAAAUUCACAAAAAAUGAAAAUGAAAAAUCCAAAAAGAUAUUACACUUUUCCAAGAAAUUUAAAAAAUAAAAAUGAAGAAAAAUCCAAAAAAGAUUUUGCACUUUUCCAUUAUUUUUCAAAAAAUUUAAAAAAAGGAAAAAAUUCCUAAAAAGAUUUUACAUUUUUCUAUUAUUUUCCAAAAAUAGAAAAUCCAAAAAGGUUUUACAUUUUCUAUCAUUUUCCAAAAAUUUAAAACAAAAAAAUUGAAAAUAGAAAAUCAAAAAGAUGUUUCAUUUUCCAUCACUUUUUCUCAAAAGACAAAAAAAGUUUUUUUCAAAUUAGAUGUAAUUUUUUGAAUUCUAUCCUAUAUCCAAUCUUUCCGAACUACGCGAACCUGAUUUUCGUCUCCUGGGGCGAGAUACGUAGGCAACCCACCCAGGGCUCGGUCUUCUUAGUGUCUUAGGUUCUUGGCUUUGUGGGUCUUUGCCAUUUCUCGCAUGUCCAGCCACUUUUGGCCACAUCGGCCAUUCUUGCAAAAUGGGGUCAUUCGCAAAAGUGGUUCAAUAACCCAUGUUUUAGGCCCGUUCCUUUUUGAGUUUGCAUCUUUAGCCGCUUCUGGCCACAUUGGCCAUUUUGUGGAAUGGAUCAUUUCUGCAAAUUAAUUUUUAAGCCAUGAUUAGUUGGAGUUUGAGUUCAUAUAUGUUUUAUUGAGGUAUUUCCAUAUCUUUGAGAUCACCUUAUGUUGAGUUUACACUUCUAGCCACUCUUAGCUACGUAGUCUAAUUUCCAAAAAAUAUCUCAAUGUCUUGCAUGUGUCCAAUAAAAGGAAUUGUGGUCUCACACUGUCUUGAGUCACUAACUCUAUUUUAUCUUAUUUUUUCCAUUCAGGUAUGGAUUAAUUUUCUAGAGUUUGAGCAUGACUAAUACCUAGGAUCAUUCUAGUCAAGACCAUUGCAGGCACCGGCUGCUUGAGGAAAUUUUUUAUUCUUUUAGUCUAUCUUAUGUUAUCUUUUAAUUUUUAGUCCUGUACAAGUCUGUCAAUCUAGUUAAGAUUUCGAGUCUUUUAUUAUAGUACUUCUUGUUUGUAUUUAAAAAAUCAAAAAGGUUAUAAAUGCAAAAUCCAAAAAGAUUUUUGUCU
rnacentral:lncRNA from 1 species